AGGUUUUGGAGCUGAUGAAUGUCGAUUACCUCACUAGACAAAAUGUAUCGAGUCAUCUACAGGUUUAUUUGUGACCCUUGUUCUUUAUUUGUCACACGUUUGUGUUCCAUUUAUUCGUAGUCUAACAUUUUUUCAUAUAUAAGUGCAAGCUUUUAUUUUUUGGGGGAACAUAUCAGUCAAUGGUUUAGUAAUGCACCCAGCAUGAAAAUGUGUGUAAUUGUAAUAUUUUUUGUCCUUGAAAAUGUGAGGCUUAUCUUAUAUAAUGCAUGCCCCAUACUUUUUUUAACCCAUGCAACACUUUCAGUUUUGUUCCCACAUGUCCACCAUUACUAUUUCCCAUGAGCGUGCAUCCCAUAUACAUGUUUCUUUUGUCUAUAUUGUUAUUUCAGAAGUAUAAAUUGUACUUGAAAAGAGUCAACCCAAAUCCACUUGGUGAUGCAUGUGUAAGAUGGAACUCUUUGAUGAACAUUCAGGAGAGUUUUAUGCAUAACCAUGAACAUGAAAGGUGGGGUGUGUCCUCAGGUGGUAUCGCCUCCUGGAGUCCCAACCAUUACGGUGAAGCGAGUCACUUAGGUCAGCAUACAAACACCCAGAGCAGUAUGUCCAUGGGUUCAUUAAUCAAUGGUGGUAGAAUGCCGGUGUAUUUGGUUCCACAUACACCCUAUAUGGGAAUAUUUUCUGGCUUCAAUGAGCAUAUAGUUCCAUUCAACAUACCUGGCGACCCAAGCUCUAUAGGGAUUUUGAAUGCAAACAACAGUGUUCCAAUGGCAACACCUCAGUUCGUUUACAGCGACCCCAUCACUACAUUAGUGGCAGGCUUCAGUGAGCACAUGGCGCCAUUCAACAUAGAAAGCAACAUUGGCUCGAUUGGAAUGAUGUUAAAUGGCAAGUCUGCACUUGGUACAGGAAGAAUUCCAGUGGCAGAGACUGAUAUGGUUAACUACGGAACAACUAGUUCUGCACUUUCCAACCAUCAGACAGAUUGUUUCGCCCAUUGACCUGGAUGCAUGAUAUCGGUGAUGCAUCUGGCAUUCUCCAUGUGCAAGAAGUAACAAUGGAUCAGCAAGCGCUUAGUGGUCAACUGAAUGGUAUCAAUGCCUUGUCAUCGGGUGGUAUUAAUGAAGAUGUCAUUGGAGAGGAUGCUGUCAUGGAUGGACAAUGACACUUAUGUUGGCUAACCCAACCUAGAUGCGAGAUAUUUUUCGCAUGUGUGUUGAGCACUUUUAAUGGGUGAUUAUUUUGUCGUUGCACACUGUACCAUGAAACUAUUAGAAUUAUGUAGUCUGGUUGGAAGUACGGACGUGUCGGGGCUUCUAUUUUACUCCAGCUAUUUUUUAAGUUUGUGUUGUCUUGUGAGAUCAAAAUGAUGUUCGGUUAUGUUAUUUCUGAUGUAACCAUUUUUGUUCUAUAUAGUAUCGGUGUGAUGUUGCA